GGAUGUGAGGGCGAUCUGGCUACGACAUCUGUCACCCCAGUGAUCGUCAGGGUUGAUUCGGCUGAUCUGGCUGGCUAGGCGGGUGUCCCCUUCCUCCCUCAUCGCUCCAUGUGUGUCCCUCCUGAAGCUCAGUAGGAAAGGACGGCCUUCCCUGAAUAGAGACGGACCGGUCUUCAGUCGAGGGUAUAUGAGUAGCUGCGCUCCCCUGCUAGAACCUCCAAACAAGCUCUCAAGAUACACAAACAUAGAAAGCACCGGACAAACAAAAGAUAAUACUUUGGAGGAAGCGCUGUUUCUAUUGAUUGCUUCUCUAG
rnacentral:snRNA from 1 species